GGACUUCGGUCCUGAGUAAAGUGGCGCACGGGUGAGUAACGCGUAGAUAACCUGUCUUUAUGUCUGGAAUAAUACGCCGAAAGGGGUACUAAUACCGGAUAUUUUUGCAUUGCACAAGUGAUGUAAGCAAAGGUGGCCUCUGACAUAAGCUACUGCAUAAAGAGGGGUCUGCGUACCAUUAGCUAGUAGGUGGGGUAAAGGCCUACCUAGGCUACGAUGGUUAGCGGGUCUGAGAGGAUGAUCCGCCACACUGGCACUGGAACACGGGCCAGACUCCUACGGGAGGCAGCAGUGAGGAAUAUUGCGCAAUGGGGGCAACCCUGACGCAGCGACGCCGCGUGAGUGAGGAAGGCCUUCGGGUCGUAAAGCUCUGUCAAAGGGAAAGAAGUGCAUGGAGGUUAAUACCCUUCAUGUUUGACGGUACCCUUAAAGGAAGCACCGGCUAACUCCGUGCCAGCAGCCGCGGUAAUACGGAGGGUGCAAGCGUUGUUCGGAAUUACUGGGCGUAAAGGGCGCGUAGGCGGUUUGAUAAGUCAGAUGUGAAAGCCCACGGCUUAACCGUGGAAGUGCAUUUGAAACUGUCAGACUUGAGUACCAGAAGGGGAAAGUGGAAUUCCCGGUGUAGAGGUGAAAUUUCGUAGAUAUCGGGAGAAAUACCGGUGGCGAAGGCGACUUUCUGGCUGGAUACUGACGCUGAGGCGCGAAAGCGUGGGGAGCAAACAGGAUUAGAUACCCUGGUAGUCCACGCUGUAAACGAUGUCAACUAGAUGUAGGGGGUGUUGAUCCCUUCUGUGUCGCAGCUAACGC
rnacentral:rRNA from 1 species